rnacentral:rRNA from 1 species
GAAGGGAGCUUGCCUUGGAUUCAGCGGCGGACGGGUGAGUAAUGCCUAGGAAUCUGCCUGGUAGUGGGGGAUAACGUCCGGAAACGGCCGCUAAUACCGCAUACGUCCUGAGGGAGAAAGUCGGGGAUCUUCGGACCUCACGCUAUCAGAUGAGCCUAGGUCGGAUUAGCUAGUUGGUGGGGUAAAGGCCUACCAAGGCGACGAUCCGUAACUGGUCUGAGAGGAUGAUCAGUCACACUGGAACUGAGACACGGUCCAGACUCCUACGGGAGGCAGCAGUGGGGAAUAUUGGACAAUGGGUGCAAGCCUGAUCCAGCCAUGCCGCGUGUGUGAAGAAGGUCUUCGGAUUGUAAAGCACUUUAAGUUGGGAGGAAGGGCAGUAAGUUAAUACCUUGCUGUUUGACGUUACCAACAGAAUAAGCACCGGCUAACUUCGUGCCAGCAGCCGCGGUAAUACGAAGGGUGCAAGCGUUAAUCGGAAUUACUGGGCGUAAAGCGCGCGUAAGUGGUUCAGCAAGCUUGAUGUGAAAUCCCCGGGCUCAACCUGGGAACUGCAUCCAAAAGCUACUGAGCUAGAGUACGGUAGAGGUGGUAGAAUUU